GGGAGAAAUUCCACAGAAUAAAAAUCAGUGCUGCUGUCUAAUUUCAGAUGAAGCUCUCAUUAAAAUACUCUCAUAGUUCCAUGGAUGUGUAACUUCAGGGGAUGUAAGAAGCAUUUCCCAUUGUCUCUUCUCCACUUGUUUUUCUGAAGAGGCAUCAUCACCAUGCCAAAGAUAGACAGCUCAAACUGCUGUCUAUCUAAUUACUGUGCCGUACCUGAAUAAUGUAGCUCCUGAUGAGCAGAUGACAGUCAUCCAGAGAUUUGAAUUUCAGUUCAUAAAAGCCACUUGAUAAAGUUAAAAUCACAGUUUUGCUGUUGGUGAACUCAUCUUUUUCUUGUUGUUUUUCCAAAUAAGCAUUUAAAAUGCAACAGCUAACAGUUGCGUCUCAUUAGUAAAGCAAUCCUUUGCAUCAUUAUUAAAUUAUUGUCUCUUUUUUUUUGCCAGAAUUAUAUUUUGACUGCUCAUGGAUUGGAAUUAAGAGGUAGUAUGUUUUGUUAAAUGGCUGGUAUAUACUUUAAGGCACUCAAGCCCUUCAGAAUUCCAAGUACAAAAACUUUCCCAAUUUUUCCAACAAUAUCAGUUUGAUAACAUCUACUAGUGAAUAUCUACCAACGUUAUGCUCUGCUAGAGUUGGCGUAGGUUUAUCACGAGAAAAAGUGAGUCUUGGUUUCCAGAAGAGCUAUCAGCUGACACACUGUUCUGGGUCUGUUCUCUGUUCUGGGGAAAGUAAUGUAAGAAAACGUUGGUUUGCUCUUUCUUUUCAGUGGGAAAAUAAUGUCAGCUGCUAAUAUCUAAGUUUGAUAAAGUAAGGCUUAAGGUGACCUCUAAUUCACAUAUAUGAUCAUUAAUAACAGUAUGAAAACAGCAACAAUUGUUUGUGGUAACUAUGAUUGCAGUGCAGCUUUAAGACAUGGAGUUUUCAACUCCACACCUUUGCUUCAUAUGCUCUUCCAUGUCGGGUGCCGUUUUUCAGACAGCUCCUCUGCUGCCAUCUGUCACAUGGCAACAAAGUGGAAUGGAAUGGAAUACUGGUGGGAAGGCUCAAGCUCUGUUGCCAUACUGUCAGCAUCCUCCCCUGAGGUUGUGGGCCAAUAUAAUAAAAUGAGUCUUUAAUCAUCUGUGCAUUGCAAUCCAUCCAACGUGAUACUGGAGCUUCUUUUUUUUCAGCCGAGAUUGCUUCCAUCCAAGAUGCUGGGAGACUACCACUAAAUAGGCAUUUCAGCAGUGACCUUAAAGUACAGCUAAUUAUCAACAGCGGUGAAUGGAAUCAAUUCUCAAUGUACAGCAAUGGAAGAGUGAUCAAAGCUCAGGAAACAGCGGUGGAUCUUCUCCAACCUGGAAAUCAAAGUACACAGUUUUGUGUGUGAAUGUAGAGAAUUCAUUGCUGAAGCAGAAUU